rnacentral:rRNA from 1 species
AUUGAACGCUGGCGGCAGGCCUAACACAUGCAAGUCGAACGAGUGGCGGACGGGUGAGUAAUGUCUGGGGAACUGCCCGAUGGAGGGGGAUAACUACUGGAAACGGUGGCUAAUACCGCAUACCAUCGGAUGUGCCCAUAUGGGAUUAGCUAGUAGGUGGGGUAACGGCUCACCUAGGCGACGAUCCCUAGCUGGUCUGAGAGGAUGAACAGCCACACUGGGACUGAGACACGGCCCAGACUCCUACGGGAGGCAGCAGUGGGGAAUAUUGCACAAGGGGCGCAAGCCUGAUGCAGCCAUGCCGCGUGUAUGAAGAAGGCCUUAGGGUUGUAAAGUACUUUCAGCGAGGAGGCGUUACCCGCAGAAGAAGCACCGGCUAACUCCGUGCCAGCAGCCGCGGUAAUAC